rnacentral:rRNA from 1 species
UUAGAGUUUGAUCCUGGCUCAGGAUGAACGCCGGCGGUGUGCCUAAUACAUGCAAGUCGUACGCACUGGCCCAACUGAUUGAUGGUGCUUGUACCUGAUUGACGAUGGAUCACCAGUGAGUGGCGGACGGGUGAGUAACACGUAGGUAACCUGCCCCGGAGCGGGGGAUAACAUUUGGAAACAGAUGCUAAUACCGCAUAACAACAAAAGCCACAUGGCUUUUGUUUGAAAGAUGGCUUUGGCUAUCACUCUGGGAUGGACCUGCGGUGCAUUAGCUAGUUGGUAAGGUAACGGCUUACCAAGGCGAUGAUGCAUAGCCGAGUUGAGAGACUGAUCGGCCACAAUGGAACUGAGACACGGUCCAUACUCCUACGGGAGGCAGCAGUAGGGAAUCUUCCACAAUGGGCGCAAGCCUGAUGGAGCAACACCGCGUGAGUGAAGAAGGGUUUCGGCUCGUAAAGCUCUGUUGUUGGAGAAGAACGUGCGUGAGAGUAACUGUUCACGCAGUGACGGUAUCCAACCAGAAAGUCACGGCUAACUACGUGCCAGCAGCCGCGGUAAUACGUAGGUGGCAAGCGUUAUCCGGAUUUAUUGGGCGUAAAGCGAGCGCAGGCGGUUGCUUAGGUCUGAUGUGAAAGCCUUCGGCUUAACCGAAGAAGUGCAUCGGAAACCGGGCGACUUGAGUGCAGAAGAGGACAGUGGAACUCCAUGUGUAGCGGUGGAAUGCGUAGAUAUAUGGAAGAACACCAGUGGCGAAGGCGGCUGUCUGGUCUGCAACUGACGCUGAGGCUCGAAAGCAUGGGUAGCGAACAGGAUUAGAUACCCUGGUAGUCCAUGCCGUAAACG